rnacentral:rRNA from 1 species
AUUGAACGCUGGCGGAAUGCUUUACACAUGCAAGUCGAACGGCAGCACGGACUUCGGUCUGGUGGCGAGUGGCGAACGGGUGAGUAAUGUAUCGGAACGUGCCCAGUCGUGGGGGAUAACGUAGUGAAAAUUACGCUAAUACCGCAUACGUUCUAUGGAUGAAAGCGGGGGAUCGCAAGACCUCGCGUGGUUGGAGCGGCCUUUAUCAGAUUAGGUAGUUGGUGGGGUAAAGGCCCACCAAGCCAACGAUCUGUAGCUGGUCUGAGAGGACGACCAGCCACACUGGAACUGAGACACGGUCCAGACUCCUACGGGAGGCAGCAGUGGGGAAUUUUGGACAAUGGGCGAAAGCCUGAUCCAGCCAUUCCGCGUGCAGGAUGAAGGCCCUCGGGUUGUAAACUGCUUUUGUACAGAACGAAAAGGUUUCUACUAAUACUAGGAGCUCAUGACGGUACUGUAAGAAUAAGCACCGGCUAACUACGUGCCAGCAGCCGCCGCCG